GACGAACGCUGGCGGCGUGCCUAAUACAUGCAAGUCGAACGAGAGCGGCCGGUGCUUGCACUGGUCAAUCUAGUGGCGAACGGGUGAGUAACACGUGGGUAACUUGCCCAUCAGAGGGGGAUAACAUUCGGAAACGGAUGCUAACACCGCAUAGGUCUUCGAACCGCAUGGUUUGAAGAGGAAAAGAGGCGCAGGCUUCUGCUGAUGGAUGGACCCGCGUUGCAUUAGCUAGUUGGAGAGGUAACGGCUCACCAAGGCCGUGAUGCAUAGCCGACCUGAGAGGGUGAUCGGCCACAUUGGAACUGAGACACGGCCCAGACUCCUACGGGAGGCAGCAGUAGGGAAUCUUCCGCAAUGGGCGCAAGUCUGACGGAGCAACGCCGCGUGAGUGAAGAAGGUGUUCGGAUCGUAAAACUCUGUUGUUAGGGAAGAACAAGUGCUAGAGUAACUGUUAGCGCCUUGACGGUAGCUAAACAGAAAGCCACGGCUAACUACGUG
rnacentral:rRNA from 1 species